rnacentral:rRNA from 1 species
GACGAACGCUGGCGGCGCGCUUAACACAUGCAAGUCGAACGGAAAGGCCCUGCUUUUGUGGGGUGCUCGAGUGGCGAACGGGUGGGUAACACGUGAGUCACCUGCCCUUGACUUUGGGAAAACUUCAGGAAACUGGGGCUAAUACCGGAUAGGCGCUCCAGCUGCACGGGGGGGGUUGGAUAGUUUCGGCGGGUGGGGAUGGACUUGCGGCUUAUCAGCUUGUUGGUGGGGUAGUGGCUUACCAAGGCUUUGACGGGUAGCCGGCCUGGGAGGGUGACCGGCCACAUGGGGACUGAGAUACGGCCCAGACGCCGACGGGAGGCAGCAGUGGGGAAUGUUGCACAGUGGGCGGAAGCCUGAUGCAGCAACGCCGCGUGCGGGAUGACGGCCUUCGGGUUGUAAACCGCUUGCGCCUGGGACGAAGCGUGAGUGACGGUAAUGGGUGAAGAAGCACCGGCUAACUACGUG